AUGCAGCCAUGCCGCGUGUAUGAAGAAGGCCUUCGGGUUGUAAAGUACUUUCAGCUCUGUNNAGGAAGGGGGUGUUGUUAAUAGCAACAUCUCUUGACGUUAGCAACAGAAGAAGCACCGGCUAACUCCGUGCCAGCAGCCGCGGUAAU
rnacentral:rRNA from 1 species